rnacentral:tRNA from 1 species
GGGGGUGUAGCUCAGUUGGGAGAGCACCUGCUUUGCACGCAGGGGGUCAGCGGUUCGAAUCCGCUCAUCUCCA